AGUGGGAUAAUUGAGUCAAAUGGUGGUUCCAUUUCAAAUUUCCGAGCAAUCUCCAUACUGCUUUCCAGAGUUGUUUCACCAAUUUGCAUUCCCACCAGCAAU
rnacentral:pre_miRNA from 1 species